UUGCCCUAGUAACGGCGAGUGAAGCGGCAACAGCUCAAAUUUGAAAUCUGGCGCAAGCCCGAGUUGUAAUUUGUAGAGGAUGCUUCUGGGUAGCGGCCGGUCUAAGUUCCUUGGAACAGGACGUCAUAGAGGGUGAGAAUCCCGUAUGUGACUGGCUUGCACCCUCCACGUAGCUCCUUCGACGAGUCGAGUUGUUUGGGAAUGCAGCUCUAAAUGGGAGGUAAAUUUCUUCUAAAGCUAAAUACCGGCCAGAGACCGAUAGCGCACAAGUAGAGUGAUCGAAAGAUGAAAAGCACUUUGGAAAGAGAGUUAAAAAGCACGUGAAAUUGUUGAAAGGGAAGCGCCCGCAACCAGACUUUGCGGCAGUGUUCGGCCGGUCUUCUGACCGGUUUACUCGCUGUCGUGAGGCCAUCAUCGUCUGGGACCGCUGGAUAAGACCUUAGGAAUGUAGCUCCCCUCGGGGAGUGUUAUAGCCUCUGGUGAUGCAGCGCGUCUCGGGCGAGGUCCGCGCUUCGGCAAGGAUGAUGGCGUAAUGGUUGUCGGCGGCCCGUCUUGAAACACGGACCAAGGAGUCUAACAUCUAUGCGAGUGUUCGGGUGUCAAACCCCUACGCGUAAUGAAAGUGAACGGAGGUGGGAACUUUUUGUGCACCAUCGACCGAUCCUGAUGUCCUCGGAUGGAUUUGAGUAAGAGCAUAGCUGUUGGGACCCGAAAGAUGGUGAACUAUGCCUGAAUAGGGUGAAGCCAGAGGAAACUCUGGUGGAGGCUCGCAGCGGUUCUGACGUGCAAAUCGAUCGUCAAAUUUGGGUAUAGGGGCGAAAGACUAAUCGAACCAUCUAGUAGCUG
rnacentral:rRNA from 1 species